AAAAACCUGUCUUUAAAGGAGAACCCAAGUCAAGAUGCAAGAAGAGUUGACUUCCUUUUAAACCGUACAUGAUCCUAACCUAUGGUUGAAUUUAGUGGGUGGCCAGGGUAACAGUUGUGAGACUCAACCCGAUAACUGCCAUAAAAACAGUCAUGAAUGAGUUAUUAGAUCACUAUAAGUUUAAGAAAAAUUUCCUUCUUGUUGAUCCAAUCAGGUUUAGACUACAUGAACCAGGUAACUUAAAACCCACUUUGCUAAGUCUGGAUCCAUCCCUGCAUGACCCGCACAUAACAGUAGAGUCCACAAGUUGUUCCACCAAAGAAGAAAGGGAUAAGGGAGAUGACACAUUCCAUACUUUCUGUCUUCUACGUAAAUACAAAAUAUUGCUGGAACAGAGAAUAGAAAUCAAUUUGCUUCAUGCAACUCACUGCAUUAUUAAAGAGUGGGGGAAAAAAAUGGAAAGCCAAGAACCAAGAUAUCAUUGGAUGAAAGCAAGAAAAGAGAGAAACAAUAAGAUCCAACAAAGUACUUACAUGGUGUGUGGUAGCAGCUCACAGUGCUACUUAUAAUUCACUUCUCUCUCUCGAGCUUGAUAAGACUGCUGAGAAUGUCUGAGCGAUGGCAAGAACUUGAGUAAAGCAGGAACCCUGCAAGAUUCAAAUCAGAUUUUGGAUGUGCCAUGAUCAAAAUGGGAGAUAUAGGACUUCUCACUGGAUCUGCCGGGCAGAUAAGGAGGGUUUGCAGCGCUGUCAACAUAUGCCAAGAUCUAUUGAGCCAAAGUUUGUGGGAAGGGCUUCGACAUUGAUGAGUAAAGAAAUGAAGUUAUAUGUUCAUUGACUAAUCUAUGAAUAUCAUCAAGGUUAGCCUCAGAUCUGGUUUGUUCUUCACCGAAAAGACUAUUUUAAUAUUUUCACUAUGUCAUAUAUUUAUUUCUUGUAUGAUAAAAAAAAAAUAUUUUUGAA